UGGGGAAUCUUCCGCAAUGGACGAAAGUCUGACGGAGCAACGCCGCGUGAGUGAUGACGGCCUUCGGGUUGUAAAGCUCUGUUAAUCGGGACGAAUGGUUCUUGUGCAAAUAGUGCGAGGAUUUGACGGUACCGGAAUAGAAAGCCACGGCUAACUACGUGCCAGCAGCCGCGGUAAUACGUAGGUGGCAAGCGUUGUCCGGAAUUAUUGGGCGUAAAGCGCGCGCAGGCGGAUUGGUCAGUCUGUCUUAAAAGUUCGGGGCUUAACCCGUGAUGGGAUGGAAACUGCCAAUCUAGAGUAUCGGAGAGGAAAGUGGAAUUCCUAGUGUAGCGGUGAAAUGCGUAGAUAUUAGGAAGAACACCAGUGGCGAAGGCGACUUUCUGGACGAAAACUGACGCUGAGGCGCGAAAGCCAGGGGAGCGAACGGG
rnacentral:rRNA from 1 species